UAAAAGAGUAGAAUGGUGGUUGCCAGGGCCUCAGGAGGUGGGUGAGAGGGGAAUGGAGACAUGUUGGUGAGAGGGUACAAAGUUUCAGUUAGAUAGGAGGACUAAGUUCUUGAGAUCUAAUGCACAGAAUGGCGACAACCGUUAUUAAUAACAUAAUGAAUAUUUCAAAAUUGCUAAGAGAAUAGAUUUUAAAUGCUGGCACCAUGAUAUGGUUUGACUGUGUCCCCACAGAGAUAAUUGAAUCAUGGGGGCGGUUUCCCUCAUCCUGUUCUCCUGAUAAUGACUUAGUUCUCACGAGAUCCGAUGGUUUUAUAAGGGGAUUCCCUGUUCACUGGGCACUCAUUUCAUUCUCCUUCCUGCAGCCCUGUGAAGAAGGACGUGUUUGCUUCCCCUUUCACCACAACUGUGAGUUUCCUGAGGCCUCCCCAGCCAUGCUAAACUGGAACAAUUUGGAAAACAGCACUUACGGACUGUAAAGACUUUUUCCAGGAACAAACAAGACAAGAACUUUGUGCUAAUAUAUUACAAUGAACCUAGAAACAUUUUUCAUAUCACCAAAGGAAAUUGCAACUGGGGGCAAAGAAUACUCAGUAUUGGCUACUUUCAUGUCACAUAAUCACUCUUAUCUGCAUGUGAGACAGCGUCCAUAGUAGAUGAAGGCAAGGGAGAAGUGGAUUCUGAAUGGCUUUUGAGUAGUAAAUAUUCAGUGUCUGUCAUAUUAGCUCACAUGACCUCACAGGCCUUCACUAAAAAAGUGUUUAAGAUUUUAAAAUACUGGGCCAUUGCAUUGUCAUCUUUAUUUAUGAACUGUAAGCCUGUCACUUGGGAGCAUUUUCAAUGAAAACUUCUCAUACCUUCAAUAAGUUACCCUUCAGUGACUGUUUUUGUUAUUGCUUUGUUUUGAAAAUUAUUUGGGGAUAAGGACUACCAUUAAAUUUUUUCUGUGGUGGGUGUGUUAUGUAAAAUUAAAGGGUUUAAUGCAGUUUAUCUCAGUUGGUUUAACUCAACAUAGAUUGAAUCCCUACCAAUUGACAAGAACUGUGCAGAUCAAUCUAGAAAUGUACAGUCUAAUGUCAUUGAGGAGUGCCAAAUGAUAUAUUUUCCAAGUAAUAUAGAGACCACAUAGCUUCUAACCUCAUUCCACUCACUGAAAAUGAUGGCUCUAAUAAUAAAAAUUUUCAGGGGUAGACCACUGAAGUUUAGCAACUCCCUAGAUUUGGCAGCAGACAGGAAACUGAGAGGGGCACACAUUACACUUGAGUUACUUAAUUGAAACCUUGCUCCUCCUCCUCCCUCUUCUCCUCCUUUUCUUUUUUCAUCCUUUCUCUACACUCUCCCCUUUUUGCUUCUUCUUCUCUAUAGAGACCUUGGUUCUAGUGCUUUACUCUCAUGUAAAAGUUUGGGAAACUCAAAUUUAUUUAUUAGAACAUUAUUAUUCCAAACACAUUUGAGAACAUCAAGUUUCUCCCCCAAAAUGAUAAUUCUAUUACUUCAAAAAUGAACAAGAGAGAAGAAGAGGGGGAGGGAAGAGAGAGAGAGAGAGAGAGAGAGAGAAUGUCUGAACAUAUAGUGGAUUAGAAUAACUAUUUAUUUGGAGGAAAAAAGUAGAGUAACGUAAUUAAACCCUGAAUAAUAUUUACUGAUAGUUUUGUUAUAUAAAUGUUUAAAAAUAGAGCCGUGAUACCUAUUUGGGAUUAACAGUAGUUCCAAAGGUAAGAAUAUAUAGACUAAUAACAUAAAUUUCACAAAUUGUUGCAUUGUGACAUUAAUAAUAUAUUUCUAAAUGGGAACAAUUAUCAACCACCGAUAAACAGUCAAAACAAAGAACCCCAAUUUAUUCAGAGAUGUGUAAAGCUGGGCACACCUCAUUCAUAGAUUUUUUAUUUUUAGAAUUCUCGACAUAUUAAAUUUUUCUGAGGAAAAAAUGUAUAUUCAUUUAUUCAUACUCAUUUUUGAACUAACAUUUAUUUAAGGUCCACAAUAUGCUAGAUAUUUUAUAUUAUUUUUUGAUUACUUAAUGCAAAUAUAGCAACAUUAUGAAGCAAGUAUUAUUAUCCCUGUUUUACAAAUAAGGAAAUAAACUCAGGGAGGUGAAUGUGAUCAAAGAUAGAUAUAUAGUUAAGAAAGUUAAAGAGACAGGAUUCAAGCCUAAGUCUGUCUGACUUCAAAUCUCUCUUCUUCCCACUAUUUAUUGCUCCCUAUGAGUUUAUAUUAAUGAAAUCUAAAAUCCCACUUAAAACCGUAUAAUGAAGAAAUUAAGAAAACCACCUGAGAUAGUGAUAUAAUUUUUCUAAUCACUAAAUAUUUUUUUCUUAGCUCUUCUUGUGGAACAAUAUACAAUAUGAUUCUUGGGAUUGGUUGAGCAUGUCUGCCUUAUUCUAACUCAAAUUUAUUUAAGAUAUGUGUUUUAUAGUAUUCUGCUACUGGAAAUAUUACAAAUACAGUAAUAAAAUAUAUCAUUUAUUAAGUAAAAUAAUAAGGAACAUGAGUAAAACAUUUUGCCUAUAUUAUGCCAGCAGCUAUGCUAUGCACUGGCAACACACACAGGCUUACAAUGAACCCAGAGGUGGGAGCAUCUAUGUCACCAGGAGAAAUUUAAGGAUGAUUUAACAUUUAAAAACUAUUAAUAUGGUUUAUUACAUUAAUAGAUGAAAGGAGUGAAAAACAUGAUCAGUGCUUAGCCCAUAGUAGGCAGUCAAUAAAUAGAUGCGGAAAAGGCUUUGGUCAAAAUUCUAGACCCAUUCAUGAUAAAAGCUCCUUAGCAAACUAGAAAUAGAAGUCAGCUCCCUUAACUUAAUAAAACCUACAAUAAACAUACACUAACGGUGAACUGUUUUAACCUUACCUUUUUCACAGCCAGGAAAAUUAGAAGU
rnacentral:lncRNA from 1 species